UACGUAGGGUCCAAGCGUUAUCCGGAAUCACUGGGCGUAAAGCGUGCGUAGGUGGCGUGUUAAGUGUGAUGUUAAAUCGCGGGGCUCAACCCUGUCGGUGCAUCGCAUACUGGCAUGCUAGAGGAAAGCAGAGGCAAGUGGAAUUGGUAGUGUAGCAGUGAAAUGCGUAGAUAUUACCAGGAACACCAAUGGCGAAGGCAGCUUGCUGGGCUUUUUCUGACACUGAGGUACGAAAGCGUGGGGAGCGAACAGG
rnacentral:rRNA from 1 species